AAGAGUUCUCAUAGUCUCACUCUGAACACACCCGAUCUCGUCUGAUCUUGGGAGCUAAGCAGGAUUUGGCCUAGUUAAUACUUGGAUGAAAGAGUUACCAGAUGCACUUCAUC
rnacentral:rRNA from 1 species